rnacentral:rRNA from 1 species
UACAGAGGGGGCAAGCGUUGUUCGGAAUUACUGGGCGUAAAGGGCGCGUAGGCGGCCUUCUAAGUCGAACGUGAAAUCCCCGGGCUCAACCUGGGAACUGCAUCUGUGACUGCAUAGCUAGAGUACGGUAGAGGGGGAUGGAAUUCCGCGUGUAGCAGUGAAAUGCGUAGAUAUGCGGAGGAACACCGAUGGCGAAGGCAAUCCCCUGGACCUGUACUGACGCUCAUGCACGAAAGCGUGGGGAGCAAACAGG